UACGUAGGGGGCUAGCGUUGUCCGGAAUCAUUGGGCGUAAAGAGCGUGUAGGCGGUCCGGUAAGUCCGCUGUGAAAGUCGGGGGCUCAACCCUCGAGUGCCGGUGGAUACUGUCGGGCUAGAGUGCGGAAGAGGCGAGUGGAAUUCCCAGUGUAGAGGUGAAAUUCGUAGAUAUUGGGAAGAACACCAAUGGCGAAGGCAGCUCUCUGGACCGUUACUGACGCUGAGGCGCGAAAGCGUGGGGAGCAAACAGG
rnacentral:rRNA from 1 species